rnacentral:rRNA from 1 species
CACGUAGGCGGCAUGGUAAGUCAAAGGUGAAAGCCCUCGGCUCAACCGGGGAAUUGCCUUUGAAACUGCUUUGCUUGAGUCCGGGAGGGGGGAGCGGAAUUCCCAGAGUAGCGGUGAAAUGCGUAGAUACUGGGAGGGACACCGGUGGCGAAGGCGGCUCCCUGGACCGGUACUGACGCUGAGGUGCGAAAGCGUGGGUAGCAAACA